GAUGUGUGUUAGCACUGGUUUAACCAGUGGUUAGUGGAAUGGUGACACAGACACCCUUCUAAAAGUGUAGUUCGCUGCUCAGUUGGGAUUAGGAGUCAGGUUGUGAGAUCACUUUGAGCUUUUCAAGUCCUCAGCAAUUUUGGCCGAUAAAGGUAAAAUGAGGACUGUGGCAACUGCGGCAAGUCAGGAUGAAGGCCAGAAGUCACUGUCCAUCCACCCUUAGCAGUAAACUGGCAAUGCUGCUGAGACUUCUCAUUUGAGAGCUUGCCGAAGAUUCAUGGGAAAAAGGAAUGCAAUCUAAUACCUGUGCUUCAUUCAACUGUAUUGGAGGUUAUGAGAGACUUCAACAUGUGGUGACCGUGUGUGAAGAAUGGCAAAGGAAAGCCUGAAUCAUGGAAAAGAUAAGUUAUUCCAGAUAACUUAGGAAGAAGAACAAUAAAAAUGACACACUCUUUCCUUGCAGACAGAAAGAAUUUUGUGAAAAUAAUCAACCAGUGGUAAAUU